rnacentral:miRNA from 1 species
GGAAGGGGAAAGGUGCGUGAGAAAAAAGGUGGCGCGCGAGGGAGGGCGGGAAGGGGAAAGAAGCGGAGUCUCCUCCUUCUUUCUUUCCCCUUCCCGCCCUCCCUCGCGCGCCGCCGUUCGCGCCGCUUUUUUUCUCGC